UUCAGAGUACACCAGCGAUGAUCAGCAUGUUCUGCAUCGUUGGCAUGGUUCAGGUCGGUUGUUUAGUCAAAUAUAAAGAAUGAACCGCCAUCUUUUGCAUCAGGAAAGGGUUGAUGGAAGGGCAAAGGAAAAAAAUGACCAUGAUGCUGAGCUUUAUGUUUCAUGCGCGCGCCAAUUUUAGAGUUUUAUUGAUUCCACUGGUGUGAGUCGAUUUUGUAGACAAUUUUGUAUUCUUGUCAUUGGAAUCGUUGCAGUCAUGUUGCUAUCCACUAUUUUUGCCAUUCUAGUGCACUGAUGGUUGCCAGGAUAACAAGAUCAGGCACACCAGGAAAGCAGCGGCGUCAGGUUUCGAUAUACUGUCCGUCGUUGGUUGAGCUCAGUGUGAUCUAUGCUUUGUUGCAACAGCACCUACUGGGUGCUGCGCUUACUGACAGCUACUGCAAACAAUUUCCUAACCCACAAAUUGUUGCUGAGUAUGCAUCUUAAUACGGUGAACAAUUUCAUGCUGUGUUAUAAGCUGAGAUAUGUGGUUGCUUGCAACAGGCUGGUGAUGGUUUCGGGCGGUUUUCCAACAUGGAAGCUAGAGCUGCAUGUUCAUCCCCAGUUCAUCAUAGAAAGCAACGGUGGUAGCUGCUGACAGGAGUACAUAUCAUCGUAAAAUUGCACAAUGCUGGUCACAGGCU
rnacentral:lncRNA from 1 species